GACGGGACCGCACAGCGGUGGAUGAUGUGGAUUAAUUCGAUGCAACGCGAAAACCUUACUACCCUUGACAUGUCUGGAAGGCCGAAGAGAUUUGGCUGUGCUCGCAAGAGAACCGGAACACAGGUGCUGCAUGGCUGUCGUCAGCUCGUGUCGUGAGAUGUUGGGUUAAGUCCCGCAACGAGCGCAACCCUUGUCAUUAGUUGCUACGAAAGGGCACUCUAAUGAGACUGCCGGUGACAAACCGGAGGAAGGUGGGGAUGACGUCAAGUCCUCAUGGCCCUUAUGGGUAGGGCUUCACACGUCAUACAAUGGUCGGGACAGAGGGUCGCCAACCCGCGAGGGGGAGCCAAUCCCAGAAACCCGAUCGUAGUCCGGAUUGCAGGCUGCAACUCGCCUGCAUGAAGUCGGAAUCGCUAGUAAUCGCAGAUCAGCAUGUCGCGGUGAAUACGUUCCCGGGUCUU
rnacentral:rRNA from 2 species